UGCCGAACACUAUCGGCGAACAGCGCCGGA
rnacentral:sRNA from 1 species